rnacentral:rRNA from 1 species
ACAUGCUUACAUCAUAGCGUUAAUGCACUAGAUCCCAUUAGAACUCCAUAGUUAAACGCGCUCAGGAUAGAGUAGUACUGGGAUGGGUGACCGCUCGAGAAGUCUUAUUACCUUACGUGCC